rnacentral:rRNA from 1 species
GUGAAAUUGUUGAAAGGGAAACGAUUGACGAGGGCAGGACAGGCAUCACUCAGCGGCAACGUGUACUUGAUGACUGUGGGCGACGACUGUGCGUAGAUGGUGGAUAAAGCAAACUGCAAGGUACCAACAUCAGUUGGGUUAAGGCAUUUUGAAAUACACUUUCUUGUACAGGGAAGAAGUAGGAUGAGAGGAAGAGAGGGAGGAAAGUUUUGUAAUGCUUUGCAGACAAAAAGCAGCCCCGCUUUGAAACUUGUUCAGAUUGAGUCGUUGGCUAUCGUUAAUCGACCCGUCUUGAAACACGGACCAAGGAGUCCAACCGUCGAGCGAGUCUUUGGGCUUUCUAAACCUGGAGGCGAAGCGAAAGCGACCCGUUGGAGAGAGUUUAUUCUUGCACAACGGCCCACAGACGUAUCAACUUUUGUGAGGCAGCUCGACUGUUGGGACCCGAAAGAUGGUGAACUAUGCCUGAAUAGGGUCAAGUCAGAGGAAACUCUGAUGGAGGCUCGUAGAGGUUCUGACGUGCAAAUCGAUCUUCAAAUUUGGGUAUAGGGGCGAAAGACUAAUCGAACCAUCUAGUAGCUGGUUCCCUCCGAAGUUUCCCUCAGGAUAGCAGGAACUCGGAUCAGUUUUAUCAGGUAAAGCGAAUGAUUAGAGGGCUUGGGGCAGUAACUGCCUUAACCUAUUCUCAAACUUUAAAUGGUAAAAAGCAACUGCUGCUUUGGUGAGCAGUUGACGCGAAUGAG